AUGGCCGGCACCACGGUGCUUCCGCCGUCUCUGCUCCCGCGCCGUAGCGCCGCCGCAGCUGACCUGCACUCCUGCUCCUCCCGCGUGCGCCUAAACCCUGCCUUGAUGGCCAACCCCGCGGCUGCCAAGACGCCGAAGCGGCCCGUGUCCGUGCGCGACGGGCAGCCGCCGGCGAAGCGCGCGCGCGGUGCCUGCUCCGGGGGCGACCUCCAUGCCGCGGUCGCCGCAAACAUCAAGGGCACAAAGCUGCCGUGUCCCAGCAGCGACAGGGAUCCGCUCCACUCCUCCGCGAUCAAGAACCAGAUCGCGGAAUCUCCGGAGAGCGCGACGCAGUCGAAGCCGCCGAUCAGCAUGCGCCAACUGAUCGAGAAAGCUCGCCUCACCAUGGCUCUCCUCGACAAGGCUCGCUCUGCCUCCGAAGAAGAGGCCGGCCGUCGGCGCGACAUCGAGCGCAUCCGAGCGGAGGCCCGGCGAAAGGUGGAGCAGAGGGUGGACACGGUGCAGUUCAACGACCCCUGGAUCCAUCACUCCGACGUGACCAAGUCCCCUGAGGAGCUGCUCCAAGCAAGACAAAACGCAUGGCGUUAUCAAGCUCACCGCGUUGAGAUGGCUCGUCGACGGGACUUUGCUCAAGCGAUGCAAAUCCACGAAUGUGUGGUCGAGUGA
rnacentral:rRNA from 1 species